GACGUAGGGCGCGAGCGUUGUCCGGAAUUAUUGGGCGUAAAGAGCUCGUAGGCGGCUUGUCGCGUCGACUGUGAAAACCCGUGGCUCAACCAUGUGGUCUGCAGUCGAUACAGGCAGGCUAGAAUUCGGUAGGGGAGACUGGAAUUCCUGGUGUAGCGGUGAAAUGCGCAGAUAUCAGGAGGAACACCGGUGGCGAAGGCGGAUCUCUGGGCCUUACCUGACGCUGAGGCGCGAAAGCUAGGGGAGCGAACAGG
rnacentral:rRNA from 1 species